rnacentral:rRNA from 2 species
UGUGCAAACACGAUCUAAUCCUUAAAUCCGGUCCCAGUUCGGACUGGGGUCUGCAACCCGACCCCACGAAGCUGGAUUCGCUAGUAAUCGCGCAUCAGCCAUGGCGCGGUGAAUACGUUCCCGGGCCUUGUACACACCGCCCGUCAAGCCAUGAAAGCCGGGGGUGCCUGAAGUCUGUGACCGCAAGGAACGGCCUAGGGCAAAACCGGUGAUUGGGGCUAAGUCGUAACAAGGUAGCCGUACCGGAAGGUGCGGCUGGAACACCUCCUUUCUGGAG